UACGUAGGGGGCGAGCGUUGUCCGGAUUUAUUGGGCGUAAAGAGCUCGUAGGCGGUUCAGUAAGUCGGGUGUGAAAACUUUGGGCUUAACCCAAAGCGUGCAUCCGAUACUGCUGUGACUUGAGUUCGGGAGAGGGAAGCGGAAUUCCGGGUGUAGCGGUGAAAUGCGUAGAUAUCCGGAGGAACACCGGUGGCGAAGGCGGCUUCCUGGACCGACACUGACGCUGAGGCGCGAAAGCUAGGGGAGCAAACGGG
rnacentral:rRNA from 1 species